rnacentral:lncRNA from 1 species
CACCUGGGCUGGACCCUCUGCCUCAAAAGGCAGCGGGAAAGCCUCAGCCUCAUCUAGGAAUGUUUGAUCCCCAGGCCUCAUGCUUGGCACAAGAGGCUCCAAUCUGCACCCAAGUUGCAUCCCCUCUAGGAAAAAAAGAAGACAAGGUAGGAAAUCACACUGUGCUUCCUGGAUGCUUCUGAUCAGCUUCCUGUUAGACAUUGCAAUAGGGACGAUGACCAGACACUUCAACAUCUGCCACAAACAGGGAGGAGGUUCCUCUGGAUACAAGGGCUUACCCUGCCCCUAUGCUUCCUGUGUUUUGGCCUCCACCUGCCUUCUAACUAAAGGCAAUACAUUCAUUCUUUGCUGCAUGGCUUCACUCAUGAUUCUCUUCAUGAUCGACCAGAGUUGCUACCCACAUGAUGAAAUCCUAGAUUCAGACAACUGGAAAAAAAUUGUUUAUAUAGGAGGUGUUAUCCUGCUGUUUUUUUCUCCGUUCCCGCUCACCGCCUUUUAUUGCCUGACUUGGUCGCUCUCCUACAUCUUCUCUCCUGAUACCCUUUGGGGCAGAGGAGUUUGUAUUAAGCUCUAGUGAGAGGAAAGCAUAACAUCACCACUCCUGCUGGCUCUGUGGGCUGUACGCUUAGCAUGCUGGACCAAGAUCUGCCUGUCCUCACUAAAGCUUUCAGAUGCUCGUGUUGUCAUAUGCUCGGUGCACUCUCUCUUGAAUCACUUCAACCCACAGUGGGCCCAUAAGCCUUUGCUUCUUUCUCCAUAUUGAGGGUUUGGACUCCUUUUGGGGCAGUCAUGAAUCAGUCAGGCAGGAGAGACGUCUGUUUCCAAGCUAAGUUUUAGGCUGAAAUUCAAACACAGCCUUGGAUGCAUGACACUUUAUCUCAAAAAAUGAUUGGCAGCCUACAUUCAUUACCAGUAUAUCAGUCAGGAGCAGAAUCGAUAGGAUGAAUAUCUGUCUGUCUGUCUGUAAAUAAAGGGGGUUUGAGUAGCUCUUACCCAAUUCCCUGUCCCUCACAAGUCCCUCACAAAGCUGAAGAAGCAGCAUCAAGAGAGAUAGGGGGUUUGGGGAUUUAGCUCAGUGGUAGAGCGCUUGCCUAGCAAGCGCAAGGCCCUGGGUUCGGUCCCCAGCUCCGAAAAAAGAAAGAAAGAAAGAAAGAAAGAAAGAAAGAAAGAAAGAAAGAAAGAAAGACAGAGAGAGAGAGAGGGAGAGAGAGAGAGAGAGAGAGAGAGAGAGAGAGAGGGAGGGAGAGAGAGAGAGAGAUAGGAACUCCAUGUUAAGUAAUCCAACAAUGGCUGUCUACCAACAGAAAGUCCAAGACUCUGGCUUCUAGGAUCUCAUUCUGUAGGUUUGUUUUCUAAAUGCUCAAACACUAAACUCUACUCAGAUGC